rnacentral:lncRNA from 1 species
GACCGUUGUCUGCCACAGGAAUCAGGUGCCACCCUCCCCAGUGUGUUCACCCGUAAGAAAUGUCAGGAGCUGCAUAGCGAUGCAUCAGGGUCCCUGGCACACGGCUCUGAGAUGGUGAAGAAUUGAAAUGCUACUAAAGCCCCUCCCUGAGCAAGAAAAUCUUGGCAGGAUGACGCCAGAAGCAUGGGGAGGGGAAGGCUCUGCUCCUGAUGGACCACGGGAUACUGUGACUGCAGCCAGCCCUGCAGCAUCCCGCAGACCCCAGCCUUCAGAGUCUGUCUCCUCCAACCCUGCCUGCGCCCAGCAGCGCGGACCACGUGCUCCCGAAAAUCAGGAGUUUCAAGCUUUCAACCUUUGCUGUUAUUCAUCGUGGGGCCAGGGUCCCUCCUACCCACAAUGUGUACUCUCUGGGCAGAGAACAGGAUUCCUGGCAAACAGAAGCUGGGAGCGCAGCCUGGAGUGCGGUGUCUCCAGAUCUGACUCUGACCCUGGGAUUCAGGAUGUUCAUAUGAACAUGUACGUUAAGUGAAUCCUUGGCGUAGGCUUCUGUAGUGGGCCGUGGGUCCACCAUUGUGCAACCCCCGCAUAAGUCUUUUCCUAUCUCUUGGCUGUUUGCAGGGAUGAACUGGCACGAUUUAAGUAAAAACAAACUGAACUUCAUUAAAAAAACAAAAAAAGUAAACUUUUGUUUCCCAGAAAGUCCGUUCGACAAGGGGCUUGUAUCCUGCAUAUAUAAGGAGUGUUUGCUAUGCAACAACAAGAACAGGCAAAAAUGAGGAUAAGAUGAUAAUAUAAGCUCCUGACAGCCCAGUCCUACUGUGACUGGAAAUUCUAAAUAGAACAUACAAGCUGCUAUGUGAGAACUCUAAAAGGUGACUUAGGAAGAGGCAUGGUGAGGUGCCUCAGCCAGGGUCUGAAGAGUCUAAGAGGCUGGAGCAUCAGGUGAGUAGAAAUUCACACAGUGCUGGCCCCCUCUGAGUGCCCUGCGAUCAUUGGACAGGACCGUGCAAACCUUUGCCUUCUCCACCCCAGGGUGGGUCACUCUGUGGUCUCUGGGCACAGGCCUCUAGUGAGUCACUGGCCCCAGAGAAAAGAGCUGGUCUGACUGCAGAUGUUUCCAGUCUUUGUUUCUCUGCUCUCUUGGGGCCAUCUGGAUUAAGCUGAAUUAAAAGGCAGGUGAGGAGCACAGGUGCUCGAU